rnacentral:rRNA from 1 species
UACGAAGGGUGCAAACGUUGCUCGGAAUCACUGGGCGUAAAGCGCACGUAGGCGGAUUGCUAAGUCAGGGGUGAAAUCCUGGAGCUCAACUCCAGAACUGCCUUUGAUACUGGCGACCUUGAGUCCGGGAGAGGUGAGUGGAACUGCGAGUGUAGAGGUGAAAUUCGUAGAUAUUCGCAAGAACACCAGUGGCGAAGGCGGCUCACUGGCCCGGUACUGACGCUGAGGUGCGAAAGCGUGGGGAGCAAACAGG